CGCUAUGCUUUCUGCUACAUCUCCAAGCUUGGUUGAAGUUGCAUGAGCAUUGAUAUAAUCCAAUUGACUUGCAGAAAGACCAGCUUGUUUUAAGGAACGCUUCAUAGCAUAGUAAGCAGCAUCCCCAUUUGGAUUUGGAGCUGUAAUAUGAUAUGAAUCAGAUGCCAAACCAUAACCGACUAUUUCAGCAUAUAUAUGAGCAUUUCGAUUUUUGGCAUGCUCCAAUUCCUCAAGGACUAAGGCAGCGGAGCCUUCUCCAAUUACAAAUCCAUCACGAUUUGCAUCAAACGGUCUUGAGGCCGCUUUUGGAUUAUCGUUGAACUUGGUUGACAAGCUUCUUGCUUUUGAAAAACCAGCAACGGUUAGCGGAUUAAUACAGGAUUCAGAACCACCGGCAAUAAUAACAUCUGCAUGUCCAAGCUUUAUAAAAUUGAAGGCAUCUCCUAUAGCAUGACAACCUGCUGCACAUGCUGUAGUUGUUGUGUGAUUUAAGGCAGUAAAACCAUAUCUUUGUGAAAUAUACCCUGCUGGCAUAUUAAUUAGUAUUUUAGAAAUGACCCUCGGUGAAACUUUUCUUAUUCCAGCCUUAUUUAAUACACCGUUUUCAUUUAAAGCAUCGUCAAGAUUUCCUAUGCCAGUUCCAAAGCAAACUCCCUUUUUUGUUAGUAUACAGUUUUCUGGAUUCACAUACCGUUGCUAGCUUUUCUUGUUCAUCUAUGUCAAUCCACCUUGCAUCUUUUAAUGCUUCAGCUGCAGAAGUGAGAGCUAACUGGGUAAAAGUAGCUACUUCACGUAAUUUCCCUUGGUCAACGUAGUCUAAUACAUUCCACUCUUCCUUUUCUUUUCCCCUUGGUAUCACUCCAGCAACUUUGCUUGGUAUUUGCUCAUACUCAGGAAAUCCUUUAAGAGAUACGAUACCUGAUUUUCCUUGAAUUAGAUUUCGCCAAUUGGUUUUAACUCCAUUGCCUAGAGGGGUUACGGCCCCCAGUCCAGUUAUUACCACACGUUUCAUUUUUCUAGCAUUACUUUGUGGAAAUAAUAAUAGAUUAUCUGUCGUUUCUUUCGACAGGGUAUUUGAGGCGAGAAUUUAACAGUAUAUAAAUCGAUCAAAACUGUGUUUAUGUUAUCGAUUUCAAAGUUCUGAUUGAAAGUGGAUUAAAUGUUCAGUUUUUAUGCAUGGUCAAGGUGUGUUGGCUAUUAAAGUUAAGAGACUGAUUGAAGCGAGGUGCACCCUGUUCGUUUAAUUACAGUUUAUGCGAUAGUUAAAGAUUACUAGAAGGUGGCCUUGUAACAAUUACUUCCUGUACAUAAUUAAACAUCCUCAAGGAAUACCGCUGUUAUAGAAAUGAAUUAGCACCAUAGGAAAAAUAAUAAUAAAUGUAAAGCUCAAAUUUAAUAAACAAAGAA